UUCCCCUGACUCAUUCUCCAGGAAGGACCUUUUCUCAGCUGUCAUUGCUAGGGAGCUGCAUCCAGGGACAGGGAAAGGGCUGGAGGAGUGGCUAGACAGGGUUAGGAAUGGUUCAUGCCUGGAGAAUCCAGUUCAAACCCCAUCCGAGCCACGUCACCAGCUUUCACACCUUCCUUUCCCGGAACCUUCAUUUCCUCAUCCGUAAACAGGAGGGUGUGGGACUUGGAAUCCUUCCCAGGGACCAUGAGGGGAAGAACAAAGGAUCUGAACAAGCCCCAAGCCUUCCCUUUCUCUCUUCUCCAUUCCCAGGAGCUCCCACACACCCCCAUAUCUCCCCAGAGAAGGUGGACAUCCCAAUGGGUGUCACCUCCCAGGAUUACACAGUCCCCAACCUGGUUCGCCUGGUCCUGGCCGGCUUGGUGGUGGCUGCCCUGGGGGGACUCGUGGCUGAAGCGUGGCAAGCCUGGAGGGAGGAAUUCCACCCAUAUUCAGGGGCUCUCUUCCAAAGGGGGUCCCCAGGGAGCCCACCCGCAGCCAGGGGAUCAACACCCUAAUGACCCUGGGGCCAACCAGGUGCAGAGACUGGCCUUGGGGAUGGGAGGUGGGUGCAAGAUUCCUCAAGGAGUCCUAAGGGGCUGCCUGAAGGCAGGGGAGUGCUUAUUGGGCCCCCCCCAUGUCCAAGGUCCCGGCCAAGGUCUCAGCUUCAUAAAGUACUGAGAAAUGUCCUAAACUCUGGCGUCCAUCUGUCCCUCCAGCCAUCCUCAUCUGGGUCUGAGGCCCCUUCAAGGAUUAGGGGCUGAGGACAGUUUAUCAGCUCCAAAGGGUGGCUCAAGAGCCAGGUCUAGAGAUGGGAGGUCCUGGGUUCAAGUCUGACCUCAGACCUUUUCUAGCUGGGUAGCCCCCAUUGCUCAGCCUUACAGGCUUUAUCAAUCAACAAGCAAAUGCUGUGGGUUCCUCCUGGUGCCCAGUCGGAGGCAGAGGUGCUGCAGUAGAGCCAGCUUUGGGGUUCCCGACUAGGGAGGCUGCUGGGUCUCCAGCCUCCAUUAAGUGCUAUGUCUGGUGGGGAACAGCCCUUCCUUCCUAGGGCUGACCCCUGGGGCUGCUGCCUCAGGGAAGAGUGGCGGGCAGGCUCUGGAGAGUAACUUGUACGGGGGCCAGAGGCCGGGGCGCCGGCAUGGAGCUGGGAAAGGCCCCUGCGAUUCCUCCUUCGCAAAGGAGGAAACUGAGGCUGAGAAAAGGAGGUGCGCCCUGCUAAGGAGUGAGUGGCCCGGCUGGAGCUGAAUCCAAGGGCUCUCCCGGCUUUCCCCACGCUCCGCAGCCAGGGCAGGGGACGCUGGGGAGUUCCCGAGCUGAAGCCUGGGGCCUUCCAGGAAGAGGCUGGAGGUGGGCCAUGGAACCCCGGGCCCACGGGGGGCCGGGAAGAUGCCCACGGGCUAGAGAGAGCUCGGCUCCCAGUCCGGGAAGGCCUCCUCUUCCUCCCACUCCAUCCUGCCCAAGGCCGCCCCCAGCCCCAUCCGCCGAAUCUGGGCCCUAUUACCCGCCCAGCCCAGGCUCCAGGAAAUUCCAGGCCGGGAAGCG
ensembl:lncRNA